UACGGGGGGAGCAAGCGUUGUUCGGAUUUACUGGGCGUAAAGGGCGCGUAGGCGGCCUCUGCAAGUCGACUGUGAAAUCUCCGGGCUUAACCCGGAAAGGUCAGCCGAUACUGCAGGGCUAGAGUGCAGAAGGGGCAACUGGAAUUCUCGGUGUAGCGGUGAAAUGCGCAGAGAUCGGAAGAAACACCCGUAGCGAAGGCGGCACUCUGGGCCGGUACUGACGCUGAGGAGCGAAAGCGUGGGGAGCAAACAGG
rnacentral:rRNA from 1 species